rnacentral:rRNA from 1 species
UACGGGGGGGGCAAGCGUUGUUCGGAAUUACUGGGCGUAAAGGGCUCGUAGGCGGCCAACUAAGUCGGAUGUGAAAUCCCCAGGCUUAACCUGGGAACUGCAUCCGAUACUGGAUGGCUUGAAUCCGGGAGAGGGAUGCAGAAUUCCAGGUGUAGCGGUGAAACGCGUAGAUAUCUGGAGGAAUACCGGUGGCGAAGGCGGCAUCCUGGACCGGCAUUGACGCUGAGGAGCGAAAGCUAGGGGAGCAAACGGG